rnacentral:rRNA from 1 species
GAGGAAUAUUGGUCAAUGGGUGCAAGCCUGAACCAGCCAUCCCGCGUGAAGGACGACUGCCCUAUGGGUUGUAAACUUCUUUUGUUUAGGGAUAAACCUACCCUCGUGAGGGUAGCUGAAGGUACUAUACGAAUAAGCACCGGCUAACUCCGUGCCAGCAGCCGCGGUUAUACGGAGGGUGCACGCGUUAUCCGGAUUUAUUGGGUUUAAAGGGUCCGUAGGCGGACUUAUAAGUCAGUGGUGAAAGCCUGUCGCUUAACGAUAGAACUGCCAUUGAUACUGUAAGUCUUGAGUAUAUUUGAGGAAGCUGGAAUAAGUAGUGUAGCGGUGAAAUGCAUAGAUAUGACUUAGAACACCAAUUGCGAAGGCAGGUUACCGAGAUAUAACUGACGCUGAGGGACGAAAGCGUGGGGAGC